rnacentral:hammerhead_ribozyme from 1 species
GCACUACUGAGGAGUCCCAUACUAGGACGAAACGGCCGUUCAGUAC